AAUAAACUAAUAAGUGACGAAAUCCAAAUAAAAAUCCUGAAAGCGGUGUCAUGAAUACAUGAGCACCUAAGAUACUACAGAUAAUGGUCUGAAAUAAUCACCGCUGCCUGAAUCAAUUAAAUAGCUAAAAGUAGUAGAAGGGACUUCAGGGUUGCAGACGCCGUGCAACUAUACCUCAAGUCUCCUCUAAAUAGUUGGAUCUGAUCAAGUUUACUGAACGCCGCAAGGACCAAUUUAGGUAUCUGCACAAG
rnacentral:lncRNA from 1 species